rnacentral:rRNA from 1 species
AUGGACUUAGGAGUGGAGGAUGCAAUACUGCAUUUUGGCUGCCUUCUGAAGGAAAGAGUUUUAUCUGUUUUGUGGAGCGGAACAAAUGUUUCCGUUGAGUUUGGAUUUGCUAUGAAGAGGAUUGACUUUUGCCUGAUCUACAACUCGAAGAAAUACAAACUUGAACUCUCCUACGAGAGCAUAUGGGAGAUCCAGCUUCAUCAUCCACCUGGGUUGCAAAAAAAGUUCCUUCUGAUUCAGGUUCAGGCUGCUCCAAAAAUUUACGAACAAAAUAUACGCCGUUCUGGUUCUAUGUACGAUGAUCCUUUAUUCAACUAUUUUAGGGAUGAUACAGAUGACCAGUGGACCAGAACAACUGAUUUCACUCCAUCAGCCAGCAUUGGGCAAUCAUCUAUCCUAUGUCUGGAGCUACCACAUAUUUGUUAUGUCCCAAACAUCAGAGAGUACUUUGUUUACUAUGAAGUACACAAUGAAGUCUUCCAUCUCCAGCGUGGAUAUUCAUAUUCAAGCAAUACUUGCUUUGUUCCACUUGUGAAAUCUCAUCAUUUCACUGAUGUCCCCUAUGAGAUACUCUUUAAGAUCAACCACUUGGUUCAGAAUGGGACACUUAGUGGGCCAACACUUGAUGACAACUUCUACCGUCUGGUCAGCCCAGGAUAUGAAUGCAUUGACCAUAUAAAGCGUGCACUUGAAAAGAUGUCAUACCUAAAAAAGACUUGUUUGAAUCCAACAAAGUGGUUAUCUGAACAAUACAAAAAAAUUCAGAUAUCACGCUACGUGUUAACAUCACCAAACAUAAGCCUGGAUGAUGAUGGGUUGGUAUAUGUCUAUAGGGUGCAAAUUACCCCUGCUAAAGUGUACUUUUAUGGUCCUGAGAUUAAUGUCUCGAAUCGUGUUGUACGGAAUUACGCUGCUGAUUUGGAUAACUUCCUUCGGGUUUCGUUUGUCGAUGAGGACUGUGAGAAGCUUCGUUCAACUGAUUUAUCACAACGCUCUGCUCCAGGAAAUAAUACAAGGGCUGCUCUUUAUAAUAGAGUUCUUUCGGUUCUUUCAAAUGGCAUCACUAUCGGUGACAAGCACUUCGAAUUUCUGGCUUUUUCUUCAAGCCAGCUCCGAGAUAACUCUGCAUGGAUGUUUGCUUCUCGGCCGGGGUUAUCUGCCAGUGACAUCAGGGAGUGGAUGGGGAACUUCCGUAAUAUUAGAAAUGUGGCAAAGUAUGCUGCAAGGCUUGGUCAGUCUUUUAGUUCCUCAACAGAAACUUUGAAAGUGCAUAGGCAUGAGGUGAAAGAAGCUCCAGAUGUAACAAACGGUACAAAGUAUGUAUUCUCGGAUGGAAUUGGAACCAUUUCAGUUGAUUUUGCAGAUGAAGUGUCUAAGAAGUGCAACUUGACCUGCUUUACUCCCUCCGCUUUCCAAAUAAGGUAUGGAGGUUACAAAGGUGUUGUCGCUGUUGAUCCAAAAUCACACUGGAAACUAUCUUUAAGAAAAAGCAUGUCAAAGUUUCAGUCAGAUAACAUCACACUAGAUGUUCUUGCAUACAGCAAGUACCAGCCAUGUUUCCUGAACCGGCAGUUAAUCACUCUUCUUUCGACACUCGGAGUCAGAGAUAGCAUAUUUGAACUGAAGCAACAAGAAGCUGUGAAGCAGUUGAACAGAAUGGUAGCUGAACCACAAGCUGCUAUUGAUGCAAUUGAGCUUAUGCCCAUGGGAGAAAUUACCAACAUUGUUAAAGAGUUGUUGUUAUGUGGUUACCGGCCUGAUGUUGAACCAUUUGUUUCUAUGCUUCUACAAACAUUUAGAGCAUCCAAGCUGCUAGAAUUGAAAACGAGGUCAAGGAUAUUUGUCCCAAAAGGACGAGCAAUGAUGGGAUGCCUGGAUGAAACCCGCACACUGAAGUACGGACAGGUAUUCAUUCAAGCUUCUAAUAGUGCAAAUGACCGUGGAAAGUCCAUCGUAACUGGAAAAGUUGUCGUUGCCAAAAACCCUUGCAUCCACCCUGGUGAUAUACGUAUUCUCCAGGCUGUUCAUAGUCCUCCUCUGGGCCACAUGGUUAACUGUGUUGUCUUUCCGCAGCUGGGGCCAAGACCUCAUCCUAAUGAAUGUUCAGGGAGUGAUCUUGAUGGGGACAUAUAUUUUGUUUCAUGGGACCCAGAUCUCAUUCCAACUCGUAUGGUGGCGCCUAUGGACUAUACUCCUGCACCAACAGAAACAUUAGAUCAUGAUGUUAUGAUUGAGGAAGUACAUGAGUAUUUCACAAAUUACAUAGUUAACGAGAGUCUGGGAAUCAUUGCCAACGCGCACGUAGUCUUUGCGGAUAGGGAAAGAUUGAAGGCUGAAAGUACACCAUGCAUUAAGCUGGCAGAGCUCUUCUCCAUUGCUGUUGAUUACCCAAAGACAGGAGUACCGGCUCAAAUUCCGCCUGAACUACAUGUGAAGGAGUAUCCAGAUUUUAUGGAGAAGCUCGACAAGGCUACCUAUGUAUCCGAGGGAAUAAUAGGGAAGCUCUACCGGGAAAUUAAGAAGCAGAACCCUCACAUUGGACACUUUACAGAGGAUGUGGCAAGGCGGUCUUAUGACACUGAUUUGAUAGUUCAUGGCUACCAAGACUACAGUACCGAAGCUGUGUGGUUCAAGGAAGAGUAUGACUUCAAGUUGGGUAAUCUGAUGGAGCACUACGGAAUAAAAAGCGAGGCUGAGAUAAUAAGUGGAUGCAUUCUUAAGAUGGCAAAGAAUUUUACCAAGAAGAGUGACGCCGAUGCUAUCAGUCUGGCGGUGAAAUCUUUGCGGAAGGAAGCAAGGUCAUGGUUCAGCGAGAUGGGUUCAGAUGAGAGCGGAGAUGGUCAUGAGGCCUCAGACGCCAAGGCAUCCGCUUGGUAUCAUGUUACCUAUCACCCAGAGUUCUGGGGUAGCUACAAUGAAGGGUAUGAUCACCGGCCACAUCUCAUCAGCUUUCCAUGGUGUGUCUAUGACAAGCUGAUUCUCAUCAAGCGGAAGAAGUUUCUGCUCGAUCGUGAGAACAGAAUGAGACGCAACACGAUAUUCGGCUGA